GUGAGGAAUAUUGGUCAAUGGGCGGGAGCCUGAACCAGCCAAGUCGCGUGAAGGAAGAAGGAUCUAUGGUUCGUAAACUUCUUUUGCAGGGGAAUAAAGUGCAGGACGUGUCCUGUUUCGUAUGUACCCUGAGAAUAAGGAUCGGCUAACUCCGUGCCAGCAGCCGCGGUAAUACGGAGGAUCCGAGCGUUAUCCGGAUUUAUUGGGUUUAAAGGGUGCGUAGGUGGUUUGAUAAGUCAGCGGUGAAAGUUUGCAGCUUAACUGUAAAAAUGCCGUUGAAACUGUCGGACUUGAGUGUAAAUGAGGUAGGCGGAAUGCGUGGUGUAGCGGUGAAAUGCAUAGAUAUCACGCAGAACUCCGAUUGCGAAGGCAGCUUACUAAGCUACAACUGACACUGAAGCACGAAAGCGUGGGGAUCAAACAGGAUUAGAUACCCCGGUAGUCC
rnacentral:rRNA from 1 species